AUUAGAUGAGAGGCUAAUGGUCAGGGCCAGCCAUAUUUGAAGUAAGACUUGCAGAAACUGUAGUGUAUGUUUAUAUGACGAAACUGUGGUAAAAGCCACUGUGCUAACUACAACAAACAUGAAACAUUGCUAUUAAAGACAACCUCUGUCGAACAAGAAAACAAAAGAGCCAGCGAGGCAGAAAUAAUCGGUUAAGUUGGAGAAUGGCAAAUAUUGUGUGCAUCGUUUGGGAAUGCCUCAAUAAAGUAACACAGACUGUUGAAGGCUAGCUGAAGUCUUGACUGUUUUUACUUAGGGAUAUUUAAUUCAAUUGAUAUUUAAUUGUCGUUUUCUUAGUAAUUAAAUUAUGAACUUGAGUGUACGACUGCAUUUUUAAGUUAAGCAGCGUAGGCGUCAGUGACUUGAAUUGUGCACAUUCUCCCUUGAAAAUAUGCAACCUCUGCCAUCUGCCCUUUCACUUCCCUCUGCCUUUCCACUUAGCUGAUCAGAAUUGAGAAUUUUUCAUGUAUAAAUUAAAUACAUUGUGUUGGAUUUUUGCAGGUAUUCCACCUGAUCAGCAACGUCUUAUCUUUGCUGGAAAACAGCUGGAAGAUGGACGUACUCUUUCUGAUUAUAACAUCCAGAAAG